rfam:Wolbachia endosymbiont of Onchocerca ochengi complete genome, strain wOo
GCGCUUGUAGUUCAGUUGGAGAGAGCGUUGCCCUCCGGAGGCAAAGGUAGAGGGUUCGAAUCCCUCCAAGCGCA